rnacentral:lncRNA from 1 species
AUAGACGAGGGGAAAACUAUAUAGUCAAACUAUGCUGACUUCAAUUAGUUUGGAGUCUGGACGGACUUCACUUGGUUUGGAGUCUAGAAGCCUCUAGAAGUCAGAAUCGAAGUUGAAACUUAAUUGAUUUUAAGUCCAAGUUCUUAUAGCUUUUUAUCUUUUGCUUGCAGUGUCAGGAAUCUUUCUGUAGAUGAACAAUAGUGAUGUCAGGAAUUUUCUUGUAGCUUACUUGUUGUCUUUUGAUCCUGGUAUAGACCUCAAUGU